CCUAACCCUAUAGAGCUAUCUGGUUCCCCCACCCGCGUCUCAUAAAGGCUUAAAAACCUGUAAUGACUUCCCCCAUUCCAGCGCUGAUGCCCCUCGGUGCUGGGUUGGUGCUUCGCCUCCUCCGACGGGGGCUAAUGGUGAGCGCCACAGGCGCACUAUGCCCUCCCCAUUGGAAAGCUUCAAUGGUUUCCUAUAUGGGGAUUUUAUGGACUCUGGAUGUCCUCAUGCAAAGUCCAUUAGUCCUGCAAUGUCAUUAUUGAACUGUCUCACAAGUGGGACUCGGACACUGCAUCAUAGAGAAAUACGGUCCUUUUAAACAAUA